rnacentral:rRNA from 1 species
AGAGUUUGAUCAUGGCUCAGAACGAACGCUGGCGGCAGGCCUAACACAUGCAAGUCGAGCGAAGACUUCGGUCUUAGCGGCGGACGGGUGAGUAACGCGUGGGAACGUGCCCUUCACUACGGAAUAGUCCCGGGAAACUGGGUUUAAUACCGUAUACGCCCUUCGGGGGAAAGAAUUUCGGUGAAGGAUCGGCCCGCGUCUGAUUAGGUAGUUGGUGGGGUAAUGGCCUACCAAGCCGACGAUCAGUAGCUGGUUUGAGAGGAUGAUCAGCCACACUGGGACUGAGACACGGCCCAGACUCCUACGGGAGGCAGCAGUGGGGAAUCUUAGACAAUGGGGGAAACCCUGAUCUAGCCAUGCCGCGUGAGUGACGAAGGCCCUAGGGUCGUAAAGCUCUUUCACCCGUGAAGAUAAUGACGGUAGCGGGAGAAGAAACCCCGGCUAACUCCGUGCCAGCAGCCGCGGUAAUACGGAGGGGGUUAGCGUUGUUCGGAAUUACUGGGCGUAAAGCGCGCGUAGGCGGGCUGUUAAGUCGGGGGUGAAAUCCCGGGGCUCAACCCCGGAACUGCCUCCGAUACUGGCAGCCUAGAGUUCGAGAGAGGUGAGUGGAACUCCGAGUGUAGAGGUGAAAUUCGUAGAUAUUCGGAAGAACACCAGUGGCGAAGGCGGCUCACUGGCUCGAUACUGACGCUGAGGUGCGAAAGUGUGGGGAGCAAACAGGAUUAGAUACCCUGGUAGUCCACACCGUAAACGAUGAAUGCCAGUCGUCGGNCAG